rnacentral:rRNA from 1 species
GACGAACGCUGGCGGCGUGCUUAACACAUGCAAGUCGAACGGAAAGGCCCGGCUUUUGUGGGGUUCUCGAGUGGCGAACGGGUGAGUAACACGUGUGUAACCUGCCCUUGACUUUGGGAGAACUUCACGAAACUGGGGCGAAUAUCGGAUAGGAGCUCCUGCUGCAUGGUGGGGGUUUGAAAGUGUCGGCGGUUGUGGAUGGACUCGCGGCUUAUUAGCUUGUUGGGGGGGUAGUGGUUUACCAAGCCUUUGACGGGUAGCCGGCGUGAGAGGGUGACCGGGCACAUUGGGACUGAGAUACGGACCAGUAGCCUACGGGAGGCAGCAGUAGGGAGUCUUGCAGAACAGGCGGGCGCGUGAUGCAGAAACGCCGCGUGCGGGAAGACGGGCUACGGGUUGUGAACCGAUGUGGACUGUGACGAAGAGUGAGUGACGGUACUUAGUAAAGAAGCAGCGGCUAACUACGU